CAGACAAUUAUUCCAUAGUUAUUUCCCCUACUGCCCUGCUGUGGGCCAAGAGGCCCCUGGCUUCAGUGGCCUUGGCACUAACUGGGAAGGGAGUCCAUUUGUUUGAGAACUUAAUACGUACUAUGGGCCAGAGAUCCCUUGGAUUCUAGACCCUGUAGUUGAAGAUAUUUGUUAUAAGACCAGGUGCUGAAACUUUUUCUCCCAGUCCCCAGAUUCUCUGGUCUCAUCCCCUUUCCUUACACACAUGCUGGAUGCUGCUGUAGAGACUGGGGGAGAACACACUCGUAGACAGCAAAGCUGCCAACCUGUCACUUUGGUGGUCCUUGAGGUCCCCUAGUAAGGCUGAUUUUUGAGUGUAGGGUAAGGGCAAAGCUGGUGGCAAAAGGGCAGAGAUGAACCUUGGCAAUGAAGUCUAGACCAGUGCUGUCCAAUAGAACAUUUCUGCAGUGACAAGAAUGUUCUAUAUCGUCACUAUCCAAUAGGGUAACACGAGCCAUGUGUGGCUACUGAACACUUGAAACGUGGUCAGUGAGACUGGGGAAGUGAAUUUUCAGUAUUCUUUAACUUUAAUUAAUAGGCACAUGUGGCUAAUGGCUACCAUACUGGACAGCACAGUUCUAAAAGCCAAUGUCCUUCAGUCCCAAGACUGGUUAGAGGAAACCCACAUUUCUUCUUUCUCAUUCCCCCUGGAUUGGAGUUGGAGACUCUGGCUCUAAGCCAGAAAGCCUGGACAGACAUUAGAAAUCCCUUUGGUCAAUGCCUAACCUUACAGGAGGGGAGGCCAAGGACCUCAGGAAGGAUCAGACUCAUCUGAGGUCACUGGUUAGCUAAGGAGUAGACUUCUUGGACCAGAACCUUGAUCUUCUGACACCUAAGUCUGGGCUCUUCUGCCUGCUGGGAGAGCUUGGGGCUCAACCUCAGGACUGGAUGAAGUCCUUGUGCUCUCAAAACAACCCAUUUGUUCCCAGUGCUUUCUGGAAGCCUGGAGUUCCUGAUCUGUCCUAACUGCCCACAUGUCAGUCCCUCCCCCUACGGUUCCCAAUCCUCAUACCGGGACAGUAGCAGCGUAAGACACCAGGCUGGACAAGUGAGGCUGGCACUGCGAUGUGAUCAAAGACACAGGAGUAAUGCUCGGCGGCUUCAGUCCAAGGACCUGUGAUGAGCACCUUGACCCCACCCUGCAGACAGAAGUCAGAGACCAUGUGACUGGAGUUGGGCAUUCAUCCCCUCAUUCAUUUAUUCAGACCCUUACAGGGUAUCUACUAUAUGGCAGGUCCUGUGCUAGAGUCUGGGGGUCCAGGGAUAGACAGGACCCAGUGGGGUGAGGUCAGUGAGUCUAUCUCUCCCCAACAUCCCUGCCAAGUGGUUGCCUGGUCUCUACCUGAAUCUGCCAGUAGCUGGGAAUUCAGGGCCUCCCCCAAAGCUACCACAGAGCUGUCACCAGAAGGAAGUUCUGUUCUUGGGCUAAUUCACCCCCACUGUACUUCCUCCUUUUCCUCUCAAAGGCAGCAUAAAACAGAACUUCUCCACUGCCGAAGACAGUCUUUCAGCUACUCAAAGUCUGCAAUCACAUCCCUGAUGUUUCUUUUCUUCUCCAGCCUGCACAGCCCCAAUUCCCUACCCCUGAAAACAGUCAGGAAGGGAAUGAGGUCCUAGGAGACUCCAGAAACCAUGCUAACACAUGGAAGGGAGAGGAACAGAAAAAAGGUUAAGUUGCUGAGGACUCUGGAAACAGGAAAGCAGCUUCACUCUACAUAAAAAAAGAGAUUGGCGGCUGGGCACGGUGGCUCACACCUGUAAUCCCAGCACUUUGGGAGGCCGAGGCAGGCAAUCACCUGAGGUCAGGAGUUUGAGACCAUCCUGGCCAACAUGGUGAAACCCCAUCUCUACUAAAAAUACAAAAGUUAGCCGGGCGUGGUGGCGGUCACCUGUAAUCCCAGCUACUCAGGAGGGUGAGGCAGGAGAAUCAUUUGAACCCGGGAGGUGGAGGUUGCAGUGAGCCAAGAUUGUGCCACUACACUCCAGCCUGGGCAACAAGAGCAAAACUGUCU
rnacentral:lncRNA from 1 species